AGCGCCUGGCGUGGGCCCCGGCCCGCAGACCUCCGCGGCCUCCGCCGCCAGAGCCGCCGCACCCAGGACCGCCGCGACCGGUUACCAGGCCAGAAUAUAGCCUCUUAAUACAGGUGUUUGCUACAAAUUGGUAGAAUCUCACCAGGUGACAGUACAGAAUUUUAAUAUCAUACACAAUAAAACUUGACUCCCUCAGCUUUACUCCCUCAUCCUUCUUCAAUAGUAUAUUUGGUGUUUCAACUCAAAAUCCGUGUGUGAAGAUUGAAGUGUGGAUUUUUCCGACCUUUAUCUUUUCUAUGAUCAUUAUUGGUAAAAUAUCGGUUUCUGGGGUUGACUGGGCUCAGUUGGAUGAUUCUUACCCAGAGCAUCUCUCAUGGUUGCAGUCACAUACUGCUGGACCAGAAUCAUCUGACAGCUUGCACAUUCACCUCUUGCACUGAGGCUGGGAAGAUGCCAACAGCUGAGGCUCCUUAUAACAUAUCUGCCUCUCUCUGUUCUCUUUGUUUCUCUCCAGCACAGUGGUUUCAGGAAUUUGUUGGAAUUCGUACAUGGUGGUUCAGCGCUCCAAGGCCACAUUCCAAGAGAGAGCCAAGUGGAAAUUUUAUCUCUUUUUAUGACCUAGACUCAAAAUUCGUACAUCGCCACUGUUGAUUCAGUUAUUUAAAAGAGUCACUGAAGUCAGUGUAUUUCCAAGAGGUGGGGACUUAGAUUUUACACUUUCAAUGAGAACAAUGUCAACUUGCUGGCAAGCUUUAAAAUCUUCAAAACCAGAGUCUGAACUCUGGUAAUUUUGUUUUAUGAGGUAAAGUCCACCUGAGUCCAUUGAUUUGAAGAAAGAAGUGAGGUAGCACCCCAUACUUCUGACAGCUGCCUUAUUGUGGUCAUUUUCACAAAUCUACAGAUACUUUCCUCUUCUGUAAUUCCUUAAAGAGGAAAGGUGCUCAUUCUCAGACUCCUCAAAACUCUUUCUCUCUCAUCUAGGGCUACAGUAGCUCCCCAGGGACUUUUCCUCAUCAGCCCAAAGAUGUCUCCACCCUGGACUGGAGAUAGGAUUUUUAUAAUAAAGGCUGCAGAUAUUGUUUUCAUUUGUUUUUUGUAUUUUGCUCUUUCAUCAAGCUUUAACAUUAAA